rnacentral:rRNA from 1 species
GAUGAACGCUGGCGGCGUGCCUAAUACAUGCAAGUCGAGCGAACAGACGAGGAGCUUGCUCCUCUGACGUUAGCGGCGGACGGGUGAGUAACACGUGGAUAACCUACCUAUAAGACUGGGAUAACUUCGGGAAACCGGAGCUAAUACCGGAUAAUAUAUUGAACCGCAUGGUUCAAUAGUGAAAGACGGUUUUGCUGUCACUUAUAGAUGGAUCCGCGCCGCAUUAGCUAGUUGGUAAGGUAACGGCUUACCAAGGCAACGAUGCGUAGCCGACCUGAGAGGGUGAUCGGCCACAUUGGAACUGAGACACGGUCCAGACCCCUACGGGAGGCAGCAGUAGGGAAUCUUCCGCAAUGGGCGAAAGCCUGACGGAGCAACGCCGCGUGAGUUAUGAAGGUCUUCGGAUCGUAAAACUCUGUUAUUAGGGAAGAACAAAUGUGUAAGUAACUAUGCACGUCUUGACGGUACCUAAUCAGAAAGCCACGGCUAACUACGUG